CACGUAGGGGGCGAGCGUUGUCCGGAUUUAUUGGGCGUAAAGAGCUCGUAGGCGGCUCGGUAAGUCGGGUGUGAAAUUUCGAGGCUUAACCUCGAAACGCCACCCGAUACUGCUGUGGCUAGAGUCCGGUAGGGGAGCGUGGAAUUCCUGGUGUAGCGGUGAAAUGCGCAGAUAUCAGGAGGAACACCGAUGGCGAAGGCAGGUCUCUGGGCAUUAACUGACGCUGAGGAGCGAAAGCAUGGGGAGCGAACGGG
rnacentral:rRNA from 1 species